UUCGCUUAGAUUCAGAGUUGAUCUUUGUUUAUUCCCUACCAUUGAUUUAUCACCGUUUUUUAUAUUGAUUUUUUUACAAAAAAAGAUGGAUGCAUAAAUGAUAAAACAAGCAUUUGAUAGCACAUGUCUUCCCGAGAGUUGGAAACUAAGUUCAAAAUUGUGUUUCUAUAUACUUUUUGUUUGUAGUUUUGUGAAUCACUGUUAGACAUAGCAAUGUCAUGGAUGUAUGAUAGUAGGAUACGCUCAGAUCCGCUUGCUAUUCUAAAAAGGGUUUGCAGCAGUUGCAUUGUUGAUCAAUGAACUUAGUUGAUUGUAGAAUACAACCUUGUGAUUAUUUUGGGACAUAACAAAGCACAAGGCUAUCUGAUUACACUUACAUCCUCUUGCUAAUUUUGAAAAGCUUGCAGCGGUUGCCCUGCUGAGUUGAAACUACAGAACCUUGUGUUUACUUGUAUUCCAGAAACCAGAACUGUGGAUGGUGGUGGAUUACGUUUCCAUAGUUUGUUGAGAUACCUUUGUAAAGUAGUUUUGGGCCCAAAUAAUCCAAGCCUACACCAACUUGCAUGAAUAGUCUCUUACUCUCAGGCUAAGAACAGGCGAUUUGUCGGUAAUAUACCCCAUGAUUAGACGCAUGAUGUUUUCAAAAAUGCAGUGUUGAGCUGUCGCGGAGGUGGCUGUCGUACUCAUGGCAGUGGUGGUGCGGCAAUGGCAGUGGUGGAUCCAGCACCAGUGGAAAGCAGCAGAGGGGCAACAACGGUCGAAGGGAUUAUUGUUCCAUAUUGAUGCUAGCAUUUGUUGCUGUUGGCAUUCAGUAGUUAGACCUUCAGAGCCUAGCACUAAAAGAGUAUUGCUGCUGUGUUACCAUGCUGGGUGUAUAUCUUAGAUAGUACUGGAAACUGUACUCUAGUAUUUUUUUUCUUUGUGUGGUGUGUCUCGGUAACAAACUGCUGUUGUUAGAAUGACAAUACUGCAAGUGGCAGAUGCGGUCUGGGAUGAUGUGGUAUUCUAUUUGUGUGCCAAGGUUGAAUAGAUGUGAUAGUCGCUGCUGAAGAAGCAGUGUACUCUUUUGCCGUGUUCAGUUUGAGGAACUGAAUGUGGUGGGUAAAACGAGAUGUGCCAACCAAUCACUACCUCUAGAUUAAUCUUGAAUACUACAGUUCCAAUGUUUAUUCUGUGUUGACAAAAAAAAAAUGAAUUCAGUGCU